GACGAACGCUGGCGGCGUGCUUAACACAUGCAAGUCGAACGGAAAGGCCCUGCUUUUGUGGGGUGCUCGAGUGGCGAACGGGUGAGUAACACGUGAGUAACCUGCCCUUGACUUUGGGAUAACUUCAGGAAACUGGGGCUCAUACCGGAUAGGAGCUCCUGCUGCAUGGUGGGGGUUGGAAAGUUUCGGCGGUUGGGGAUGGACUCGCGGCUUAUCAGCUUGUUGGUGGGGUAGUGGCUUACCAAGGCUUUGACGGGUAGCCGGCCUGCGAGGGUGACCGGCCACAUUGGGACGGAGAUACGGCCCAGACUCCUACGGGAGGCAGGAGUGGGGAAUAGUGCACAAUGGGCGGAAGCCUGAUGCAGCAACGCCGCGUGCGGGAUGACGGCCUUCGGGUUGUAAACCGCUUUCGCCUGUGACGAAGCGUGAGUGACGGUAAUGGGUAAAGAAGCACCGGCUAACUACGUG
rnacentral:rRNA from 1 species